CCAUCGGUGGUUUAGUGGUAGAAUGCUCGCCUGACAUGCGGGCGGCCCGGGUUCGAAUCCCGACUGAUGCA
rnacentral:tRNA from 1 species